UACAGAGGGGGCAAGCGUUGCUCGGAAUUACUGGGCGUAAAGGGCGCGUAGGCGGAAUGGCAAGUCGGUCGUGAAAUCCUUCGGCUCAACCGAAGAACGUCGAUCGAAACUGCCGUUCUUGAGGAUUGCAGAGGAGACUGGAAUUCCCGGUGUAGCGGUGAAAUGUGUAGAGAUCGGGAGGAACACCGGUGGCGAAGGCGGGUCACUGGACAGGUCCUGACACUGAGACGCGAAAGCGUGGGUAGCAAACAGG
rnacentral:rRNA from 1 species